AACGUACGCUGGCGGCACGCCUAACACAUGCAAGUCGAACGAAGUAGCAAUACUUAGUGGCAGACGGGUGAGUAACAUGUAGGUAUCUGCCCUUUGGCCUGGAAUAACACGAGGAAACUUGUGCUAAUACCGGAUAAGUCUUUACGGAGAAAGCUUUAUGCACCAUUGGAUGAGCCUGCACUUGAUUAGUUUGUUGGCGGGGUAAUGGCCUACCAAGACUGUGAUCAAUAGCUGAUUUGAGAGGAUGAUCAGCCACAUUGGGACUGAGACACGGCCCAAACUCCUACGGGAGGCAGCAGUGGGGAAUCUUGCACAAUGGAGGAAACUCUGAUGCAGCGAUGCCGCGUGAGUGAAGAAGGCCCUUGGGUUGUAAAGCUCUUUCGUCGGGGAAGAAAAUGACUGUACCCGAAUAAGAAGGUCCGGCUAACUUCGUGCCAGCAGCCGCGGUAAUACGAAGGGACCUAGCGUAGUUCGGAAUUACUGGGCUUAAAGAGUUCGUAGGUGGUUGAAAAAGUUAGUGGUGAAAUCCCAGAGCUUAACUCUGGAACUGCCAUUAAAACUUUUCAGCUAGAGUAUGAUAGAGGAAAGCAGAAUUUCUAGUGUAGAGGUGAAAUUCGUAGAUAUUAGAAAGAAUACCAAUUGCGAAGGCAGCUUUCUGGAUCAUUACUGACACUGAGGAACGAAAGCAUGGGUAGCGAAGAGGAUUAGAUACCCUCGUAGUCCAUGCCGUAAACGAUGUGUGUUAGACGUUGGAAAUUUAUUUUCAGUGUCGCAGGGAAACCGAUAAACACACCGCCUGGGGAGUACGACCGCAAGGUUAAAACUCAAAUGAAUUGACGGGGACCCGCACAAGUAGUGGAGCAUGUGGUUUAAUUCGAAGAUACGCGCAGAACCUUACCAACACUUGACAUGUUCGUCGCGACUCUAAGAGAUUAGAGUUUUCGGUUCGGCCGGACGAAACACAGGUGCUGCAUGGCUGUCGUCAGCUCGUGUCGUGAGAUGUUGGGUUAAGUCCCGCAACGAGCGCAACCCUCACUUUUAGUUGCCAUCAUUAAGUUGGGCACUCUGAAAGAACUGCCAGUGAUAAGCUGGAGGAAGGUGGGGAUGACGUCAAGUCCUCAUGGCCCUUACGUGUUGGGCUACACACGUGCUACAAUGGUAUCUACAACAGGAAGCAAGACUGCGAAGUUAAGCAAAUCCCUAAAAGAUACCUCAGUUCGGAUUGCACUCUGCAACUCGAGUGCAUGAAGCUGGAAUUACUAGUAAUCGUGGAUCAGCGUGCCACGGUGAAUGCGUUCCCGGGUCU
rnacentral:rRNA from 1 species